rnacentral:rRNA from 1 species
CCUACGGGAGGCAGCAGUGAGGAAUAUUGGUCAAUGGGCGCGAGCCUGAACCAGCCAAGUAGCGUGAAGGAUGACUGCCCUACGGGUUGUAAGCUUCUUUUAUAAAGGAAUAAAGUGAGGCACGUGUGCCUUUUUGUAUGUACGUUAUGAAUAAGGAUCGGCUAACUCCGUGCCAGCAGCCGCGGUAAUACGGAGGAUCCGAGCGUUAUCCGGAUUUAUUGGGUUUAAAGGGAGCGUAGAUGGGUUGUUAAGUCAGUUGUGAAAGUUUGCGGCUCAACCGUAAAAUUGCAAUUGAUACUGGCAGUCUUGAGUGCAGAUGAGGUAGGCGGAAUUCGUGGUGUAGCGGUGAAAUGCGUAGAUAUCACGAAGAACUCCGGUUGCGAAGGCAGCUUACUAAACUGCCACUGACGUUGAUGCUCGAAAGUGUGGGUAGCGAACAGGAUUAGAUACCCGGGUAGUC